UCAUAGUUGGACUCCAUUCUUAUGCAAAUGUUCAGUAAUUGAGGAUGCUUUCACAAAAAAGAAAGUUGGGAGUCUAAUAUAGCAUGUUCAGAGAUUGUUGAUCUUUGUAAAAUUAAGUAUCAUGGACCAAUACCAACCAUGGAACCACAGGUAGGGUGCUUUGUUUACUAGGUAUUCUUCUGCUUUAGGGGAAAUUGUCUAUUUUAGCCCUGUCUAUUUCGUAAAUGUUAUGUGUUAAAUCAAAUUUUAGCUGAGAAUACACUUGUCUUCUCUAGAUGAUUCGUUGUAGUUAUCUAUCCUCUUAUUUAUCUGCUGGUCUUCUGCACAUUACAUGUUAUGCUAAAAGACAUUUUUGGAGGUGGCUCCUUUUCCUUUUUUUUGUAUUAAUUCUUCAGACUUCUAAUAUUACUUUAUUGCUUACUUCAAUGAUGUUUCAUGUAUUGCUUACUCACAUACUUUGAUAUCCUUACUCUCUCUGAAUUUAUAUGUUGUCCCAUCCUAUCCCUCUUUGCUCUGUCUCACAUCACAUCUGCUGAUUAUUUUGACUAGGUGCAUAUUCACUCAUUAGGCACAUCUUUAUUCUGAAUGAAAUCUAUUUGUUUGUUUGUUGCUAUUUCAAAUCCAUCCCAACCUAUAAUGCUGAGAGAGAUAAGUCCAGUUCAUACAGUACCACAUGGAAUCAAGACGCAUACCCGAUCCGCCCGACCCCAAUGACUCGCCUCCUUCCUGCCACCGCCAGGUACUCCUCUCAGCUUGAUGCUGCUACCGUGCUCGUCUCUACUGAUGUUCUCUGCAUUUCUUGUUAUAUUGUGCCCUCUUUCUUUUGUUUUUUAUGUUGCAUUUCUUGUUAUAUUGUGCCCUCUUUCUUUUGUUUUUUCAUGUUGCCAAUCAGGUGAGUGGUCCGGGGAUGUUUUUUUGCAGCCUCUGUCAAGUGUCUCCUUUAGACCAUAUAUGUUUACUGUCGUUGUAUCUCUAACAACCAUAUUGUCGUACUUACGUCCUGAUUUAAUCAUGUUAACCUGAGAAGUAUUGAUCACCAGCUCAUAAUUGUGAAUCAAAUUUGCCUUUUUUUUCACUGUCUAUUGAUAUGCAAUUAUGCAUACACCCUCUGUUGCAUUUAACUUGCUCAUAUAGCAGCACCUAAAUUAGAAACUUUUCUUUUGUCUCUUUCCAUUCUAGCUUAUUUCUAAUUAUUCAAAUUUCAUACUUACAUGCACAACGCCUCGAACAUGAGCCCUGGAACUACAUCAGUCGUGGAACGCCUUGCGGUGUCAAGUACUUUGGCGAGCUAGAGGACCAUUGCUUCUGGGGCAAUGAAGUGAAGCUCUAUGAACAUCAUGUGGAUAAGCUCUUCGCAAUGUUUUGGCACAAGAAGCCAAGAUCGACUACUACGUCUGCACCAUUAACAAGACAUUUGCCAAACCAGGGCAGCGCAUGUACUUUCAGGUGGAGUACACAAAGGACAAUAUGCAGGAGUACAUUUAGGAAGACAAUGACACCCUCCCACUCAAGAAUGCAGAUGGCACCGUGAGCUGCGACGCCCGAUUCAUCUUCGGAACCAACAAGAGGGCCACCAUCACGAUCAACUGGUCGUGGUUUCGCCAUGACGCCAAAAUCCAAAAGGGUGACAUCUGCGCUUUCCACUUCAAGCGUGAGGACCGGCGCCACCUUUCUCUCACCGUCCACCGUCUAUGGACGCAAUGCCAUCAGCCCCUUCCAUUGCCUAUGAAUAUCAUCCAUCUAGCAUUUUUAGCUUAUCUCUAAGACAUGAUAUCCCUUUGUUGUGAUGAUUGGAUGAACUAUGCCUCUCUUUUGGACAUCGACCGUCUUUUGGAGUAUCUUAGGCUUCGAUUUCAAUAGAUGACUGUGCCCUGGCAUCCACUCUGUAAGACCAUGAUCUACCUGCUAAUAUAGA